rnacentral:rRNA from 1 species
UACGAAGGGGGCUAGCGUUGUUCGGAAUUACUGGGCGUAAAGCGCACGUAGGCGGAUUGUUAAGUGAGGGGUGAAAUCCCAGGGGCUCAACCCUGGAACUGCCUUUCAUACUGGCAAUCUCGAGUCCGAGAGAGGUGAGUGGAAUUCCGAGUGUAGAGGUGAAAUUCGUAGAUAUUCGGAGGAACACCAGUGGCGAAGGCGGCUCACUGGCUCGGUACUGACGCUGAGGUGCGAAAGCGUGGGGAGCAAACAGG